GACAGAGGAUGCAAGCGUUAUCCGGAAUGAUUGGGCGUAAAGCGUCUGUAGGUGGCUUUUAAGUCCGCCGUCAAAUCCCAGGGCUCAACCCUGGACAGGCGGUGGAAACUACCAAGCUGGAGUACGGUAGGGACAGAGGGAAUUUCCGGGUGGAGCGGUGAAAUGCGUAGAGAUACGGCAAAGAACAACCAACGGCGAAAGCACUCUGCUGGGCCGGACACUCGACACUGAGAGACGAAAGCUAGGGGAGCGAAUGGG
rnacentral:rRNA from 1 species